AACCGAUUCCCACUGGAGUGCGGUUCGCAAAGCCAUCUCAGAGCAGAUAAACACCGUGGACGUGCUCGCCACCAUGGGGGCCAUUCCUGCGGGCUUCCGGCCCUCCACGCUGGCCCAGCUGCUGGAGGAAGGGAAUCGAUUUCGAGCAAGUUCCUUCUUACAGCCAGAGCUCACGGCAUCACAACUGGCCUUCAGAGACCUAGUGUGGGACGCCAAGUCGGGCACUAUCAGGCCGAGACCCAGCCGCGUCUCGCUGGUGCUCACCCUGUGGAGCUGUAAGAUGAUCCCGCACCCUGGAGCCAGCGUCCAAGUCCUCAGCAGACACGUGCGCCUCUGUGCCUUCGAUGGCAGCAAGGUCCUGAGCAACAUUCAUACUGUCCGAGCCACGUGGCAACCUAAAAAGCCCAAAACAUGGGCAUUUUCUCCCCAGGUCACUGGCAUCUUGCCCUGCUUGCUCAGUGGGGACUGUUUCAUCAGGUCCAAUUCUUCAUCUCCCGACCUCGGAAUCCUGUUUGAACUUGGAAUUUCCUAUAUUCGCAACUCUACCGGUGACCAAGGAGAGUUAAGCUGUGGCUGGGCGUUUCUGAAGCUGUUCGAUGCCAGCGGCGCUCCUAUUCCGGCCAGAACUUACGAGCUCUUCCUGAACGGCGGGACCCCCUAUGAGAAAGGCGUGGAAGUGGACCCUUCCGUGUCCAGGAGAGCACACAGCAGUGUUUUCCAUCAGAUGCUGACCAUGCGAAGGCAGCCUCAACUUCUGGUGAAACUGAGGUCUCUGAACCAAAGAUCGAGAAACAUCCUGAGCUUCCUGCCGGAAACCUUGGUUGGAAGUAUGUGCUGCUCCCACCUGCUGGUAUUUUAUCGGCAGAUUCUUGGAGAUGCACUGCUGAAAGACAGGACGAACUCACAGAACGCUGAUCUCAUCAGUCACCCAAUGCUGGCCUCCUUCCCCCAGCUCCUGGAGCAGCCUGAAGUGAUGGACGCGCUAAGGAGUUCAUGGGCUGAGAAAGAAAGCACACUGAAAAGAUCAGAGAAGGUAAUACGAUUUUUCAUGUGGGACUUUCUGUAGUGCUAUGGUUGCGUGCAUGUUCUUUAGCUAAAAAGUCAUAGCCCCGCUUACUCAGGUAGCUGUGCUAUUUCGGUUUCAAAGACAUAUUCUAAGAAGGGUGUGCAUGGCCUCCAGAAUGUCAUUUCAGGUCACUGAGGUUUAUUUAAAUGAAGGGGGAAUUUCUAAACCAGAGUCUCCAGCUGGCUAUCCCAUAUCCCUGAUUUCAAAAAAAAUUUUCCCUCCAGCUGCCAACAACUAAAUCACAUGGGGACAAGGAAAGAUGAGUUUGGCCUGGGCUGUGUCCCAUACUCACAAGUGCCUGGGUCCGCUCGUGUCACUUAGAAGAACUGUGAUUAUCACAGAAGUCGCAUGGAUCUGUGAGCAGCGGUUCAACUGCGCUGACCCAAGAUCAGCAGGCGACUUCUGUAAAGGGCCGGGUGGUAAAUAUUUCACCCUGCGGGCCACACAUCUGGCGACAAGCACUGUCCUCUGCCGCCAGGAUACAAGUGACUGAGGCUGGCCUGGGACCUCUGAGGCCCUGUGUACACACAGACGCAUUUCCCCGUGGUCCUGUUUGCCAUUUCCUGAUCUAAAGUGCUGGUUAUCUGAAGUGUUGAUCUAAGUAAGGGUUGUGGGAGAACAAGCAAACCGAAAACUCUGACUGCUGGGGGUGCUAU
rnacentral:lncRNA from 1 species